rnacentral:rRNA from 1 species
NGACUNUCGGCAACGGAUAUCUCGGCUCUCGCCACGAUGAAGAAUGUAGCGAAAUGCGAUANUUAGUGUGAAUUGCAGAAUCCCGUGAAUCAUCAAGUCUUUGAACGCAAGUUGCGCCCGAGGCCUCGNCCAAGGGCACGUCUGUNUGGGCGUCGCA